AAAUGACAUAAGUCGACUAUUACUACUAUUAAAUUUUAUAUUUAAUAGUAGUAAUAGUCGUAUUAAUAUUAACAGAUUGUAUUCAUUAAGUUUAACUCUGAUUUACAAUUUUUAUGGAAAGUUUAUUUAAAUUAAUAUAUUUAUUGCAAAACCUUUCAAACAUUUUUUUUUUUAUUUUUUUUUUUACAAAAUUAUAAAUAUUUACAGAUUUUUAUAAUACAUAUUGCAUACUUAUAUAUAAGCAGGGCCGUACCAAACGACGAAGACUUCAGGGGGAGGGGGAGGAUAUGUCGUUAAACAAUCUAAAUCACGCAUAAAAUCACAUAAAAAAAAACAUAGUUUAGUAAUGAUAACAAAUUCCCAGUGAGAAUGGUAAUAAUGGUCCGUUAGCGGCGCGCCGACGCUGGCUAAAUAUUGAUGGUCCGAAACGGGCCUUGCAAGGCGCGCCAACGUCGGCAUAACUAAAAUGGACCGAAUGCAGCUUUGAACUGGCAUGACAACGGCGGCGUGCCUACAUCAAACCUACAGCGAACCAUUAGCGGCUGCCCGACGUUGGAACACCGAUAGCGAACCAGCAUCGGACCGUAAAAGUACCAUGCGUUUUAAAAAGAUUUAUUUCCAAAUAAAUCAUAGAAAAAUUUUACGAAUAUGUUUAAUUUUUGGUUAUUAUUAAGAUCAUAAUAUAACAGUUUACAUAUAUAAUAAAUUCAUUUUUUUAAAUGGUGGUCACUAGUUUAUCAUUAAGAUCCUAAUAUAAUUAUGUUAUUAUUAAGAUCCGAAUACACUAAGGCAUAUUCGUUUAUACGCAACAAUUUUUUUCUCUUUGUCUUAAUUUUUUUCUAUAAAUUGUCAACUGAUAUGCAUGCAAGUUUUUAUCAAAAUAACUGUUGUGUUGUGGGCUAAUAAAAACCACAAAAAAAAAAGUGUUCUAUGUGUCUUUGUUAACAUGAGAGUAUGUUUGACAUACAAAAGCACAUUUUUUAAUUGAAAUAUAUCUAUCGACGCAAUCAGGUUAAUAACUGUAAUUAUUGAUUUUUAAUCACUUUUACACAAUUAAAUUGAUAAAUUUUAGUGUAAUUUGAUCUUUUGCACUGCCAGUAUGAUUUUUAUUGCAUUUUACAAAAUGUCGAAAGGAAAGUAUUUGAAAGAUGCUAAAAAAAUACAAAUUAAUUUAUAUCGUGGCUCAGAAAUCUCACCAGCAAUUUUUAUACAAGAAAUAGCAAGAAAAAUUGGAAGAUCUGACCAUGUUGUACGAAACUACAUUGCAAAAGGUGACAAUUACGGUGUAAAAAAAGCAACAAAUGGCAACAAAGUAUUAACAAAUCGAUAAAUUAAUCGAAUUCGCUUCGAAGCAACCAAAAAUGAAUUGAACGCAACACAAAUAAAGGAUAAACUAAUAUUGCCUGUCACCAAUAAACAUGUUGCACAUAUUCUACGUACAACACCAAUGCAUUGAACUCAUGAGUGGCAAAACGUAAUACUUUCAGAUGAAAAAAAGUUUCACACAUACACACACACACACACAUUUUAAUUUUUGAAUUUUCAAGUUUUUCCAUAUUUUAGGAGCCUGUGACAUAAUUGAAAAUUCAGAACCCCGGGUUUUAGUUUUUUUAAUAUAAUGUUUAUGGAACCUAUUUGAUCGUAGAUUAUAACUUUGAAAAAAUGAUGACGAGAAUAUGUGUAAAAAAGAAUUUGGUAUCAUAUUAUUUUUAUAUUUGAACAUAAAAAUAAGAAUCUGAUAUAAAUUAAGUUUUUCCAAGUUUAAGACUUUUAUAUUUGUCAUCGCAUUGGAAGGAUUGUCCAUUCUACCUAGAUAAUGAAUUGCUUUACAAGCAUGGUUUUGCAAGCCUUGUAGUUUGAUUAAUUUUGUUUUGUGUGUAUUAGCCCACACUAUAUUAGCAUAUGUGAGAUGACUGUGAAUUAGACUAAAGUAAAGUUUUUUUCUUGAACAGAAAUCAAGAAACUGGCGACAUUUUUAUAAAAUACCUAUUGCAGAUGAUAUUUUUGUUUCAAUGUGUCCAAUGUGAUUUCUCCAUGAUAAAUUUUCAUCAAUAUGAACACCAAGAAACUUUGCAUAUUUUUCCCGUUUUAUUGUUAUGUUGUUAAUGAGCAUUUUUGGAAUUUUUAACGGUAGAGACAUUGAUUGACCUGUUUUAUGAAAUAAGAUGUAGUUGGUUUUUCACAGUUUAAGGAUAGUUUAAUUGCUCCAAGCCAUAAAUUAAAGUUUUCCAGUUCAGUAUUCAUUGUUUCGAACAUCGAUUUUAAAUUACUAUGAUUAUAAAAUAAAGUUGUGUCAUCAGCAUACAUUAUUGAAGAUACUAUAGAUGAUGCUUUAUGGAUAUCAUUGAUGUAAAUUAAAAACAAUAACGGUCCUAAGAUUGAGCCUUGAGGAACCCCACACUCAAUAUCAAGAACACUUGAGUCUUUGUUUAUUACAAACUGCUUUCUGUUACUCAGUUAACUUUUUACCCAUUAAUACAUUAGUCUUUUGAUACCAUAAUAUUUUAACUUUGAUAGUAAGAUGCUGUGGUCAACUGUAUCAAAUGCCUUUGUAAGUUCUAUAAAUACUCUUAAUACAUGAUCCCCUUUAUCAAAAAAUUAAAAUAUUUUAUUAGUAAGUUCAAUGAUAGCAUGUUCUGUUGAGCAUCUUUUUUGAAAACCAAAUUUAUUUUCAUAUAAAAGUUUGUUAAACUUCAAGUAGUUAAAAUUCGAUUGUAUAUUACUUUUUCAUAAACUUUAGAGAACACUGGUAAGAGAGAUAUUGGACGGUAGUUAGACAUAUUAUUACAAUCUCCAUUUUUAUAAACAGGAUUGACUUUAGCAAUUUUUAACAUAUCAGGAAAAGUACUGUGUUCAAAAGAAGACGAUAUUAGACGAAAUAAGGGUUUUCUAAUACAUUCAAUGAUGUGUAUUGCUACAUUACUAGUAAUGUCAUCAUAUCCGCAUGACUUAUUUUGCUUUAGUUCAGUCAGAGCUUUGUUAAACUCUUUAUAGGAUAUUUUUUCAUUUGAUAUACACGAUAGGGUUUUUUUUCCAAUAAAUUCAUCAAUUUUCUUAUUUGGCAUCACUAUUUUUGAAGCUAGACUGGGACCAAGAUUUACAAAGUGUUUGUUAAAUUCAUGGUAAAUAUCUGAUUUAUUUGUAAUAUAUUUAUCACAAAAUCUUAUUUUGAGGUAUGCUAAAGGAUUUCUUUUUUUCUCUGCCAUUUACUUCAUUUAUAAUCGACCAUGUUUUUUUUAUGUCUAAUUUAUUUUUAUUUAGCAGAUUAGAAUAAUACAUUAUUUUUAGUUUUCAACUUUUUAUGUUUAUUAAAUUUUGGGCCCCCCAAAUGUUGGGGCCCUAGGCCAUGGCCUAGUCGGCCUAUAGGUAAAUCCGGCCCUGCAUGAUUUAAACGGAAUAAAUGACCCACAAACAAAACGAAAUUAUGGUGGAGGAAGUUUAAUGGUUUGGGGGGGGGGAUUUUUUUAUUCAGUUUUUGAUUAUUAUAUUGUUUUCAAUUGUUAUAUUUUGGAAUUUUUCAUAGAGCAAAUAAAGUUGUUGACCAAAACAGUGGUGUCUCCAAUGCCCUUGUCUCAAAUGCAGAUAAAUGAAAGCUACUCGAAAGGAACAAUGAAUAAAACAAUGGUCACUUUAUUGAUAGAGGUGAAAACAUUCAUUAAAGAUUUACAGCGUCAACCUGAACUCAACACCCGGCUUCUUCAAACACUGCUGGAUUAUAAAAACAAUUAUGAUGACAGUAUGAUUGAGGAAUACAAUCUUCUUGGUAACAUGAAAAAUUUAGAUGUGUUUGAUAGUUUGUUACAGCGAGACAAGUCGAUUUUCAACAAAUUGCGAUUAUUCUUGCUAGCAAAGGUGGCCAGUCACUGAGAGAAAUUGUAAAAAGGGCCAUUAACUUAUUAUUAACAAAGAUCUACAACGAAAGUUUAACUGGAGUGGUAGUUGGGCCGGCUGGAGUUGAAAAAAACAUUUUAUCUAAAAAGGCUUUUUGCAAACUUAGUUGUUUUUAGCGCUGCAGAGAAAAAUCAGUAAACAUUUACCAACAAGAUCAGUAACCGAAAGCGAGUUUCAAGUUGAAGUCGUGCGUUUUUAACGAGGAGCUGCAGGCAGGAAUGGGGGGGGGGGGGGAGAAAAAUUAAAGGCGUAAAUAGGAAUACGCUUGAAAGAGAUUCUUCUUCAAGUUAAAAAUAUAAUUCUCAAGUAAUGAGAAGUUUAAAUAAGAAUUACAUGUAUCUAAUUAUAUUUUUGAUAUCUAAUAGUUUAUGAA